AGAUUAUUAGAGGUGACAGCAGUUUAAGUGGAGUAGAACAAUUUUGGAAAUUGGAUUAUAACAUUUAAUUCGAUGAUUAACUUUUUUAAAAAAAGUGCCUAAAGUGGGAGGAUGAGUGGCUGGCGUGCCUUUCAUCAUUUUGAUUUUGAGAUCUUAACAUUUUUCUUGCCUCCUUUCAGCACCACCAAGCUGCCCUGGAAUGGAACUUCUGCUCAGUUCUUGGAUUGAGGGAUGGAGGAGGAGUUUACUUCAUUCAUUCUCAGGGACUCUUAACUGGUGAGAAGAAUUUAGGAUAUUUUACCAUCUGGAGUUUCUCUGCCUCACUGGUGAUUUAAACUCAAACCUGCCAGUUUAUGCAAGAUGAUAGAAAGUACCCUGUAACAUCUGAGUUGCAAAAAUAUCUGCCUCUGAGAGCUCAGGAGGAUCUGCUUUGUGGGAGCAAAGGUAGUGAGUCAUACCUGGAAGCUUGCGCCUCUUCAUCCAGUCAAGUCUCCUAGGCAACAGUUUAUGCAGCACUUAAAAGAUGAGGAGUUAAGAGGAGAAAAUGGAAAAAAAAAACAACAGAAGUACUUUUAAUGGAACAGAAUAAACCACUGAACAGGUACCA
rnacentral:lncRNA from 1 species